UAGGGAAUCUUCCGCAAUGGACGAAAGUCUGACGGAGCAACGCCGCGUGAGUGAAGAAGGAUUUCGGUUCGUAAAACUCUGUUGUUAGGGAAGAAAAAAUGUAUAGUAACUAUAUACAAAAGAGACGGUACCUAACCAGAAAGCCACGGCUAACUACGUGCCAGCAGCCGCGGUAAUACGUAGGUGGCAAGCGUUGUCCGGAAUUAUUGGGCGUAAAGCGCGCGCAGGUGGUUUAGAAAGUCUGAUGUGAAAGCCCACGGCUCAACCGUGGAGGGUCAUUGGAAACUAAUAAACUUGAGUGCAGGAGAGAAAAGUGGAAUUCCUAGUGUAGCGGUGAAAUGCGUAGAGAUUAGGAGGAACACCGGUAGCGAAAGCGGCUUUUUGGCCUGCAACUGACACUGAGGCGCGAAAGCGUGGGGAGCAAACAGG
rnacentral:rRNA from 1 species